AAAUAGAGUUGUACAUCUGUGCCAGCGCAAGUUUUCGCACCAUCUCUUUGUCAAGUGGAACAGUUCAUCGAUCUCGCCAAUUUUCAGGAGAACUAUGCUAAAACUACACUAUCAUCAAUCAUCCAUAUCUCAUAUUGUAAGUUAAACUAGUUCUGAGAUAUUUUCCAGAGUGCCUUCUUAUUUCACUCAGUUUGAGUUUUUUCUUUUCAAGAACUUUUUAUUUGGGAAAAGAAUAUGUUAAAUAUAGUUGAAUGCGAAAACAAAGUGAUAAAACUGAAGCCAAUGCAAGUAAAACUGCGGAAAUUAGAAUCUAUACCAAAGAAUUACAUGAGAAAAAAUAAAGUAGUCUUUUUGUACUAAGCUUGGAAAAGGUUUCACGAAAAGAAAAGAAUUAUAGGAAGAAACCUUAAGAGUGCCUGCAAUAAGCAUAUGAAACAAGCAUUGUGGUAGAUUGUGGUAGACUUACUAAUCUGCAGUCUAUUUGUCAAGUAGAUAAACAUUCUUAUCACAUGCGAUGCUCUUCCAGGUACGGUCCUCCGAGUGCCGUCAUUAUGAGCAAGUUUUAGAGAAAACAAUUAUGACCUUUGGGUCUCUUCCCCUUAAUUUCUUUCUUGAUUUGCUACUGAUAUUGGAAGCACAUGAGAAGGAUGUAUUUGUGAUGUGUACGAUAAAGUCAUAAAAAAGAGCUACCAUUACUUGUGGUCUCGCUUUCAUUCUAUUAUCUGGGACAAGUUCGGACCGAGAGAAGUUUGCCAAAAAAAAGGUGUAUAUGUAGCAUUUAUGGAGUUAUCUACCAAAACAAUUGUUUGUUACAAAAAAAAUAAAAAGGCAAAUGGUAGCUAUUCAUGUCAAUUAACAAGCACAAAAUAUAAUGAUGUGUAGUUAUAUAUA